GGCAUCUUCAUAGUUAUUAAAUCGCGCCUUCAUUGUAGUCAAGUUAAAUUCAUUGAGGUGUGGGCUGAAAGUUUUGUUGCUGUUAAAUAUUAUUUAUCAAAUAUUUUGGAACGCAUAUUUAGCAAAUUACAUAUGUACACUACUAAGCCAACACAGGAGAUAAAAUUUCUAAGAUAUGAGAAUUAAAUAAGAGGCUGUAAAAAGUAUUUCCGUAAAGUGAAAUAUGAAAAAUAUUGACUGCUGCCGUGAAAUAUCUUUGGUAAUAUAAAUUUACGGAAAGAAUUCUUGCCACUUUGAAGUGAUUUUCGUUAAAAGUUAAAUAGCCUAACUUUCCAUAAAAGCCUUAAAUCAUUUUACACCUUCUAAAAUGGAAUUGGAAUCAAGUAUAGCUAUACUGCAGGAUCUGCGCUUGCAAACAUUCGAUUCCAUACGUUUUGCUUCUUACCGCACGGCCUCCAAAUUGCGUUACAUACAAAAAUCGACAAAUUUACACUUGGUCGAUAUAUGGAAUGUAAUUGAAGCAUUCCGUGAGAAUGGCUUAAAUACAUUAGAGCCGCAGAGUGAAGUGAGCGUAGCACGUUUAGAGACGCUCGUUUCAUCACUCUAUCAUAACCUCAAUAAACGUCUUCCCACGGCACAGCAAGUUCCCGUUGAUUCAAAGGCAGGUCUAUUGCUCAACUGGUUAUUGGCGGCGUAUACAAGCGAUAAUUCGGGUAAAAUUCGUGUAUUCUCAAUUAAGGUGGCUUUGGCGACUAUGUGCUCUGGCAAACUGGUGGAUAAAUUGAGAUAUAUUUUUUCGCAAAUAUCCGAUGGCGCUGGUCAAUUGGUACCUUGGAAACUUGGCGAAUUUUUACGUGAAGUAUUGGCACUGCCAGCAGCCGUCUAUGAAUCGCCAACAUUCCAUUAUAAAGACGGCUUGGAGGAGGAGAUAUUUCCAGCUGAGAAUAAAGUCACGGUGAAUGAUUUCAUGGCAACACUUAUGUCUGAACCGGGUCCAUCGUGUCUUGUUUGGUUGCCGCUGUUGCAUCGUUUGGCCACUGUUGAAACAAUUGUACAUCCGACAAUCUGUUCGGUAUGUCAUAAGGAGAAUUUUACGGGAUUUCGUUAUCGUUGUCAGCGGUGCCACGCCUACCAAUUAUGUCAAGAGUGUUUUUGGCACGGCAAGACAUCACUGAAUCAUCAAAAUGAUCACGAAGUCAAAGAGUAUUCCAGUUAUAAAUCACCCAGUAAACAGAUCGGCCAUUCGCUGCGUAAAAGCUUCCGAUGUGUGCCCGAGAAGACGACACAGGUGUUGCCACGAUUCCCCGAACAUCCGGAAAAGACAUUGAAUCUCUCACAUAUUGUACCGCCAUCGCCAUUGCCGUCACACAAUGGUUUCACCGAUCCGCCACUGAUGCAUGGCGGUGUGCCCGGUGGCGCACAUAGCGGUGGCCUGUUGUACGAUCGCUCCAGUACGCUGGAUUCACGUGCUACUGGACGCAGUCUUGACAGUGCCACCGGUGCGAGUAUGUCACGUAUGGCCACCUCGUCGGCCAACGAUGAGGAGCAUCGUUUAAUUGCUCGCUAUGCCGCACGUCUUGCCCAAGAGAAUCGCGCGCCAGCCAAUCCUGGCAAUACCGAUAAUGCUGGCAGCAUCGGUUCGGAUAAUUCACGUGCGCAGCGCGAACUUAUCGCUCAACUGGAAUCUAAAAAUAAAGAGAUAAUGCGUGAAAUAGCACGACUACGUCGCCAGCAGGAAGUCGAACAAAUUACGCCCGAAAAUCCAGCGCUUAUAAAUGAGUUACGUGCACUGCGCCAGCGCAAGGGUGAACUCGAAGGACACUUGGGCGCCUUGCAAGAUUCGCGACGCCAAUUAAUGGAACAAUUGGAGGGUCUGAUGCGCAUGCUGAAGAAUCAGCAAACCACCUCACCACGUUCCACACCUAAUUCCAGUCCACGUUCAGGCAAAUCUCCACCCAUGCCGGCUGGCAUGGCAGGAGUGGGUGUUAAUUCAAUGAAUAUAACAGGCAUGCAUUCACAACAAGGCCAACAACCAACAACACAUUCUCUUAUGGGCAUGGCUGGUGGUGGCGGUGGCAUCGGCGGCGGUGGCGGUGGUGGUGGUCGUGCAACACAACAGCAAUUAUUACAAGGUGCACAACAACAGCAGCAACAGUCCUUUAAUACAAGUCAGCUGGAGCAACUAAGUCAAAUAAGCAAUGAAGUGCGUUCAGCAUUUACAGGCAAUGCAGCGAGCUCAACCUUCAUGCAUAAUCCAAUAGCUGAGAUAAAUGACGCUGCUGAUAAUAUAACAUCGGCACUUUCGAAUUUAGUUAACGAUUUGAAUGCAGCUAUGCGUCACGUUGUGGGUGGCGAAUCGUCCACAUCACAAGCCGAUGACGUGAAGUCGCAAAGUAUGGCGCCACCAUCACCAGCGCAAGACAACGAAGAUGUUGAGGCGGAGGAACGUCGUUUAUUCGAGGAAGUCUUCCAAACCGAUGAGGAGUACAAAUGGUUUGAGGAAUGCGAGCGUCGUACACACACUCAACGCAGUGUUAUGUGUUACAAAGAUUAUCCAGAGUUAUUGAUUGACGACGAGCAUGUUGGCUUUCCAGCGCUACACGAAAUCGGCGAGACAAUCGAUGAAUUGCAGUUGAUUAUGCAUGCGUUAAUUAUGAAAUAUAGUAUGAGCUUGUAAAGAAGUUGACGAAAAGUUGAAGUUGAAAAAAGCUUAAAAUACUCAAUAUUCAGGCAGCUAAGAGGAAUUGUUGAAGACUUUGAUGAAUCGCAGUCGUAUGACAAUGAAUGGAUCGUUAAGACAAAUGCGACUAAUCACUGGCACGAACAAUUUGCCCAAU
rnacentral:misc_RNA from 1 species